UCCCGGUUGGCCAAGUGGUUUAAGGCAUCGCUCUUAUGUGGGUAACUGCCGUCAAUGAAGAUCUAUCUUCUUGAUGCUUAGCGAGGGUCGUGAGUUCAAACCUCACACUGGGAA
rnacentral:tRNA from 1 species